GAACAUAUAUGCACAGACCUACGAAAACCAUGUCCACUGCCCUUCAUCCUUGAGGAGGGGUCGGGCCAUCUGCGCCUGCGCAAAGAAGUGGUGCUGCAGCAGCCGCCAUCUUCCCGGGCCACACAAUGGCACAGACGCAGUUGCGAGGCCGCGCCAGCCUGAGGCGGCGGGAGCGCAAAUGACACAACCGGCAAGACCUAGAGGCAAAGAGCCCCGCUACCAGCUCGCGGGAGACCCCGGGCCAGCACCCCACAGCCCUGCGCCCCUGUGCUCCCGCUCUGCCCGCAGCGGGACCCCGCGCCCGCACUGGCCCGCCGGCCAUCCUCCCCACACGUAACCCCCAGAACCACCACGACCAGGCCGGCUCAGCCUGGCUCACGUGCUGGACGGCGCGCGGGUCACCCCAACGCCGGGCCAUUCUGGGGACCCGUCCCCGCAGACCUUCUACUCCUGAAGCCCAUACUCGGGGCACCCUGUGCCCACUGAGACCACUUCAGACCAAAGGACAAAGGCCCACCGAGCCAAGCCCUGUCGCCAGAGACCCACAGGCGGCACGAGGCGGCCUCGCCACUGCGGCAAGGAUCCGGCCGCUCCGGGAGAACCAUACAUAGUUCACCCGAGUCCUCCAAGGUGGAAAAGGCAGACUGUGGCCUGCACGGACGCGAAUUUCCGGGUUACGACCCGCGCGCACACACCUGGCUCGCUCCAUCGCGCCGCUGCCCGCUCCUCACUGCUCGCUGCCAGGCAUCGCCCGUCCCCGCCUCUGCGAACUGCUCACUGCCGCACUGCAGAACCCUCUGCGCGUGCGCGCGCUUUAUAGUGCGCAUGCGCCCAGCUGUAUCGAUGUGGGUGACGUAGGUCAGGGGUAAAGUGCUUCCUAGACAAAAUGAGGCCCUGGGUUCGAUCUCACUCCCCAAAAACAUGUCAGUAUGCAGUGGUUUUUGAUUUGCGAAAAUACUUCAGUUUCUAGCAGUUCAUUUUUACAUUUUCAUAGAGUAACAUGGACAGUUUACUCUGAUCUCGGGAGCCAGUAGAAAGUAAAACGUGAAAUUAAACUUUGAAAGCGAAUUAUGUAAAUGUUUGUUAGUAUGUUGAAAACAUUAUGAAAGAUACUCACCUCUGUAAUGAUGCAAAUCUUACAAUGAGACUCCUUUGAUUCAAAUUCUAUGAUGCGAGGCCGCACUGUUACCAUGGGCAGGUUACUCAGCGUUCUCUUCAGCGUUUUCCUCCU
rnacentral:lncRNA from 1 species